rnacentral:lncRNA from 1 species
GAUUCCUGCAGUUCAGUAGGAAGAACAAAUACAUGUGAUUAUAUUCUAAACUGUGACAAUGCUAUGUAUAUUUAGAGGAAUUAUAUCUUUUUACUGUGUCUGUUGGUAUUUUUACAUCAAUCACAGUCCAUCUUGUAACAAUAAAAUAAUCUUUCAAAAAUGUUUUCUGUUUAAAUUAGCCUAAAACUCUUUUUAAAAUACCUUUGAAAUUAAUCAAUUAUUUUUUGGGAACUACUUUGAGAACAUAUACAUAUUCUGUUCCUCAAAAAACUUUUACCUACUAGUUUUACAUU